GUGGGGAAUAUUGGGCAAUGGUCGGAAGACUGACCCAGCCAUGCCGCGUGCAGGAAGACGGCCCUCUGGGUUGUAAACUGCUUUUAUCUGGGAAGAAAAAGGCCAUGCGUGGCAAAUUGCCGGUACCAGAUGAAUAAGCACCGGCUAACUCCGUGCCAGCAGCCGCGGUAAUACGGAGGGUGCGAGCGUUGUCCGGAUUUAUUGGGUUUAAAGGGUGCGUAGGCGGCUGAUUAAGUCAGCGGUGAAAGACUUCGGCUUAACCGGAGCAGUGCCGUUGAUACUGGUUUGCUUGAGUGUCGGAGGGGUACAUGGAAUUGAUGGUGUAGCGGUGAAAUGCAUAGAUACCAUCAGGAACACCGAUAGCGAAGGCAUUGUACUGGCCGACAACUGACGCUGAUGCACGAAAGUGUGGGGAUCGAACAGGAUUAGAUACCCUUGUAGUCC
rnacentral:rRNA from 1 species